rnacentral:rRNA from 1 species
CAAUGGCAUAUAUUAACGUUGUCGCAGUUGAAAAGCUCGUAGUUGAACUUUUGGUAGGAGCGACCUGGCCUUGGGCGCAUGCCCUUGUUUGCCGUGUGUCGUAUCUGGCCAUCCUUUUCCGUUUCGGCGGGAAUCUUUUACUGUGAGUAAACUGGAGUGCUCAAAACAAGACGUUUGUUUGGUACAUUAAAGCAUGGAAUAAUAAGAUAGGACCUGGUUACUAUUUUGUUGGUUUGCAUAGCUAGGUAAUGAUUAACAGGGACAGUUGGGGGUAUUCGUAUUUAAUUGUCAGAGGUGAAAUUCUUGGAUUUAUGAAAGACGAACGACUGCGAAAGCAUUUACCAAGGAUGUUUUCAUUAA